GAGUUUGAUCAUGGCUCAGGACGAACGCUGGCGGCGUGCUUAACACAUGCAAGUCGAACGAUGAUGCCCAGCUUGCUGGGUGGAUUAGUGGCGAACGGGUGAGUAACACGUGAGUAACCUGCCCCUGACUCUGGGAUAAGCGUUGGAAACGACGUCUAAUACUGGAUAUGAUCACUGGCCGCAUGGUCUGGUGGUGGAAAGAUUUUUUGGUUGGGGAUGGACUCGCGGCCUAUCAGCUUGUUGGUGAGGUAAUGGCUCACCAAGGCGACGACGGGUAGCCGGCCUGAGAGGGUGACCGGCCACACUGGGACUGAGACACGGCCCAGACUCCUACGGGAGGCAGCAGUGGGGAAUAUUGCACAAUGGGCGAAAGCCUGAUGCAGCAACGCCGCGUGAGGGAUGACGGCCUUCGGGUUGUAAACCUCUUUUAGUAGGGAAGAAGCGAAAGUGACGGUACCUGCAGAAAAAGCACCGGCUAACUACGUGCCAGCAGCCGCGGUAAUACGUAGGGUGCAAGCGUUGUCCGGAAUUAUUGGGCGUAAAGAGCUCGUAGGCGGUUUGUCGCGUCUGCUGUGAAAUCCCGAGGCUCAACCUCGGGCUUGCAGUGGGUACGGGCAGACUAGAGUGCGGUAGGGGAGAUUGGAAUUCCUGGUGUAGCGGUGGAAUGCGCAGAUAUCAGGAGGAACACCGAUGGCGAAGGCAGAUCUCUGGGCCGUAACUGACGCUGAGGAGCGAAAGCAUGGGGAGCGAACAGGAUUAGAUACCCUGGUAGUCCAUGCCCUAAACGUUGGGCGCUAGAUGUAGAGACCUUUCCACGGUUUCUGUGUCGUAGCUAACGCAUUAAGCGCCCCGCCUGGGGAGUACGGCCGCAAGGCUAAAACUCAAAGGAAUUGACGGGGGCCCGCACAAGCGGCGGAGCAUGCGGAUUAAUUCGGUGCAACGCGAGGAACCUUACCAAGGCUUGACAUACACCGGAAACGGCCAGAGAUGGUCGCCCCCUUGUGGUCGGUGUACAGGUGGUGCAUGGUUGUCGUCAGCUCGUGUCGUGAGAUGUUGGGUUAAGUCCCGCAACGAGCGCAACCCUCGUUCUAUGUUGCCAGCGGGUUAUGCCGGGGACUCAUAGGAGACUGCCGGGGUCAACUCGGAGGAAGGUGGGGAUGACGUCAAAUCAUCAUGCCCCUUAUGUCUUGGGCUUCACGCAUGCUACAAUGGCCGGUACAAAGGGCUGCGAUACCGUAAGGUGGAGCGAAUCCCAAAAAGCCGGUCUCAGUUCGGAUUGAGGUCUGCAACUCGACCUCAUGAAGUCGGAGUCGCUAGUAAUCGCAGAUCAGCAACGCUGCGGUGAAUACGUUCCCGGGCCUUGUACACACCGCCCGUCAAGUCAUGAAAGUCGGUAACACCCGAUGCCGGUGGCCUAACCCUUGUGGAAGGAGCCGUCGAAGGUGGGAUCGGUGAUUAGGACUAAGUCGUAACAAGGUAGCCGUA
rnacentral:rRNA from 1 species